UGGCUCAGUGGUAGAGUGCUUGCCUUGCAUGCAUGAGGCCCUGGAUUCGAUUCCUG
rnacentral:tRNA from 1 species